AUGUUUCCCAGAGCCUGANAAUGGUAUUCUGGGAGACCUCUUGUCCAUCCNCACUUUGUGAAUUGUUUAUUGUCUCUGGCAUACGCGGCACUGUAAANUCCUUAUGGAGGGUGGUGCCCUUUGAGUCGAUGAUUUUAAGGAGCCGCGAAAGUGGGCUCCCUCGAGUCACUAGGCUUGAAGAACCUCUUGUGCCCAACUUGCCAAAUGGGUUUUUCAACCCAUGACACUGUUAACUCUUAUGCUUAACCACUCUGUCUGAACCAUACAAAUUCUUAAUAAGAAACAACUUUUGACAACGGAUCUCUUGGCUCUCGCAACGAUGAAGAACGCAGCGAAAUGCGAUACGUAAUGUGAAUUGCAGAAUUCCGUGAAUCAUCGAAUCUUUGAACGCAUAUUGCGACCUUCUGGUAUUCCAGGAGGUAUGCCUGUUUGAGAAUCGUGACUACCCUCACAUCCCCUAUUUUGGGGUGUGGACUUGAGUUUUCCCACGGUCAAAUCUCCUUAACAAAGAGAUGCGAUGGCAUGGGUGACUUUAAAAUAUAGGUAAGCCUUGAACCAAAACACCUGCUUAAACCGGUGAAAAGGCGUGAUAAAACG
rnacentral:rRNA from 1 species